rnacentral:misc_RNA from 1 species
GAUGAAGAACGUAGCGAAAUGCGAUAAGUAAUGUGAAUUGCAGAAUUCAGUGAAUCAUCGAAUCUUGAACGCACAUUGCGCCCGCCAGUAUUCUGGCGGGCAUGCCUGUUCGAGCGUCAUUUCAACCAUCAAGCCCCCGGGCUUGUGUUGGGGACCUGCGGCUGCCGCAGGCCCUGAAAAGCAGUGGCGGGCUCGCUGUCACACCGAGCGUAGUAGAUUUUAUCUCGCUCUGGGCGUGCUGCGGGUUCCGGCCGUUAAACCACCCUUUUAACCCAAGGUUGACCUCGGAUCAGGUAGGAAGACCCGCUGAACUUAAGCAUAUCAAUAAGCGGAGGA